AAUAGAAUGCACCCUAAUACAAUAAGAGUAAUGAUACAGCUACAAACUCUUGUACAAACUUAUUUUGUACAAACUGACGUGGUAUUAAUUCAUUGGUUGAAUGAAAAUAUAAAAUAAUAAAAACAAAUCAUGUGGGCCAAGUGAUAUUUAAUUCAACCAAUCUUAUCAUGCCACGUUAGUUUGUACAAAAUAAGUUUGUACAAGAGUUUGUGGCUAUAUCAUUACUCAUACAAUAAAGCAUGAUGUAAUACAACUAAUAUAAUAUAACAUAAUAAAACGUACUCUAACGCAAUACACCAUAAUGUAAAACAAGUAAUACAAUAUAACGUGAUAGAGUGUGCCAAAUACACACUAAAGUUAUUUUAGGGUAAUUUUUAGGGACCUCCCCUGAGGUUUAGUGUAUUAACAGUCGGAUGGAAAGUAUUCAUGUAAUUACAGGGACCUCCCCUGACGUUAAUACAAAAAUACGUAUAACGAUAUUAUGAAGGGUAAAUACGUAAAAAUAAAAGUGAGAACGUGUUUAACACGUUCUCAAAGAAUCCCAAUACAAAUUUUAAAAUAAAUUACAAAACAAACCCCAAGCCGCAUCUCAUUAUCCGAAUCUAAAAAAUUCACGGCUCUCUCUCCGUUGCAGUAACCAAAAUCAACUGUUGUUGCUGCCGCCUCUUGGCUCUGUCUCGGCCGGUAGUGGUACUACUACUUCGUCUCUGCUCUGGUUCCGCCAUGGUAGAUCGACUGCAGUUGCUGCGUCUCUGUUGAGAAGGGCUUGGCGACCAGAGGCGGCGAGUGAAUCGCCGAGUGGAGUGAAGACUAGGAGAAAGAAGACAAGGAGUAAGCCGAAGACUAUGGCGGAGAUGAUGUCUAGAAGUUUCCAUUGUUGAGCUUUGCGUUUUGAUAUGGGUAAAUUCAGGUGACCCAUGCUGCAGGUGAAGGAUCCAAUUAACUUAAAUACUUAAUUGCAUUUUCGAUAAACUACUCAAGCAUCAAAGCCCAAAGGAGCCGGUUUAUUGGUUUUGAGGAGAUGAUGAUGAAUUGAUGAUGGGACUUGGGUAGUGGAAAUCUGGAAUUGAUUUGAGUGAGUAUUGAGUGGAUGAGUUCGGUGGAGUAAAGGCAAGCACGGUAACUAGUAAGAAGAUAAACGGCAAGGGCAUUUUUGAAAUUUCAACGGUCAACUGACGGUUCACUUAACGGAAUACUAACUACUAACGUCAGGGGAGGUCCCUGUAAUUACAUGAAUACUUUCUAUCUAACUGUCAAUACACUAAACUUCAGGGGAGGUCCCUGAAAAAUACCCAGUUAUUUUACGAGUAGUACUGGUAACUGUCCUAGAGGCAAAUUCUGACAUAUCUUUUGGACUUAUUAACUCGAAUUUAUUCUGACACAUCUUUUGGACUUAUUAACUCGAAUUUAAGGCAAAUGCUGCUUUAACACAUUAAGGGUCGUGGAUAUCUUUAUUUGUAGAGCUCGGAGUUAGCUAAUCUUGGUUUUGGAACUGCAACCAAAGAUUUCUUUUUCUUGAUAACUUGCCCAUACUUAUAAGACAAAUCAAGCUUCUCA
rnacentral:lncRNA from 1 species